UACGUAGGGUGCAAGCGUUGUCCGGAAUUAUUGGGCGUAAAGAGCUCGUAGGCGGUCUGUCGCGUCGGAUGUGAAAAUCCAGGGCUCAACCCUGGACCUGCAUUCGAUACGGGCAGACUAGAGUUCGGUAGGGGAGACUGGAAUUCCUGGUGUAGCGGUGAAAUGCGUAGAUAUGUGGAGGAACACCGAUGGCGAAGGCAGCCCCCUGGGCUAGUACUGACGCUCAUGCACGAAAGCGUGGGGAGCAAACAGG
rnacentral:rRNA from 1 species